AGUGAACGCUGGCGGUAGGCCUAACACAUGCAAGUCGAACGGCAGCACAGUAAGAGCUUGCUCUUACGGGUGGCGAGUGGCGGACGGGUGAGGAAUACAUCGGAAUCUACUUUUUCGUGGGGGAUAACGUAGGGAAACUUACGCUAAUACCGCAUACGACCUACGGGUGAAAGCAGGGGAUCUUCGGACCUUGCGCGAUUGAAUGAGCCGAUGCCGGAUUAGCUAGUUGGCGGGGUAAAGGCCCACCAGGGCGACGAUCCGUAGCUGGUCUGAGAGGAUGAUCAGCCACACUGGAACUGAGACACGGUCCAGACUCCUACGGGAGGCAGCAGUGGGGAAUAUUGGACAAUGGGCGCAAGCCUGAUCCAGCCAUACCGCGUGGGUGAAGAAGGCCUUCGGGUUGUAAAGCCCUUUUGUUGGGAAAGAAAAGCAGCAGGUUAAUACCCCGCUGUUCUGACGGUACCCAAAGAAUAAGCACCGGCUAACUUCGUG
rnacentral:rRNA from 1 species